CACGUAGGGCGCGAGCGUUGUCCGGAAUUAUUGGGCGUAAAGAGCUCGUAGGCGGUUUGUCGCGUCUGCUGUGAAAACCCGAGGCUCAACCUCGGGCCUGCAGUGGGUACGGGCAGACUAGAGUGCGGUAGGGGAGAUUGGAAUUCCUGGUGUAGCGGUGGAAUGCGCAGAUAUCAGGAGGAACACCAAUGGCGAAGGCAGAUCUCUGGGCCGUAACUGACGCUGAGGAGCGAAAGCAUGGGGAGCGAACAGG
rnacentral:rRNA from 1 species